ensembl:lncRNA
GGGGUCAGUUGACUCUUGGUCCAGGCAUUGGGCCAGGAUUUGGAAGAUGCUCCCAUUUACGGAGGAAGCCUCCACCGCCCCCAAGCUUCACAGCCCCUAUUGUUCAGUUUAGCAGACGUGUGCCAGGCGUAGGGCCUUGUGCAGGCAGCAGGGAAUGAAGAGUUGGUUCUUGUCCCUGCCUUUAAGGAGCAUGAAGCCAUCAUGGCACUCAGCCAGACCCUGGCUCGAAUUUUCUGCUUCUGGCAGCACAGACGCCCAUUCGGGUCGGGGCCGUCUCCUGUUGCUCUGGCGCCGGUUGGGUCUGAUUCUGUGAUCCUUGACGACAUUGUUCCGGAGCGACUCGACUAAGACCUGGCACCCAGAGCUGGAGGUGGAUGGAGUUAGGUGAGGCUAGGGAGACACAGGCUUUCUCACUGCACCUCUGGGGGAGCCAGCUAGGUGGGGGUGUCCAGUGCUGCCAGCUGGGCCCUGCAGGCUGGGGGUCCCUGAGCAGUACCUGGCCACCCCCCCUGCCCCACCGCCCCCCAGCGUCUCCCUCGUCUCCCUCAGUCAGUCAGCAUUUGCUGAGAAGCAGUACUGCCCAGGCUUAGCAGUCAGAACUGCGAUUCGGGACACAUGGAACUGACUGUCAAACCCAGGUAGUGACAGUUAGCCCAGCUCAGAGCAGCCUGCAGGGCAGGCUCAGCGCAAACCUCUUCCCUCAGGGCUUUCCACAAGCCUUUGAGGCUACUUCAGAGGUGGAGAGCUGGAAUGACUUGCCAAGGUCAUGGGCUUGUAAGUGGAACUGGGAUUUGAACCCCACCGAGUCAGACUCAGCCACAUUUCCCAUCGCGCUGGCUCUGUAAAUCUUGGGCUAAGGCUGAACAGGUCAAGGAGCUGGUAGCCUCAGGGCUGAGAGCAGGGAGGGCCUCUGUUGGCAGGGGGUGGGGGGGAGAGAAAGCAUUGGAACCAGACCUUAAGAGCAGAGCAGAAACUUGACUGCGUGAAUUCUGUGUCGCACAGCAUUGGAAGACCCGAAGUCACCGGCACGGCCUGAAGGCAGGCUGGGGCAGGACUGUGCCCGCGAGGCCCUCCAGAUCAGCCUUGCCAGCCAGCCACUUAUUCCUUUCCUGCCCCCGGCCCCGGUCCGGGCCUCCGCAUGCUUGCCGAGACUCCAUAGUGACCUGUUUAUGGCUCUGGGCCUUGCAUUACCUCCCCAAGCCACCCGUCACCCAGCCAUCCGCCACCUGUCCCUGCUGAUGCUUUCAGCAGGUCUCCACAGCCAAGCUGUGGGUGCAGGGCAGCUCCGUCCACCCCAGGACACUCCGCAUCACGGCCCAUGAAUGCUGGAUCUGGGGAAGGUUGGGCUGCACCGGCUUACAGGGUCAAGUCCAAGCCCCCUGGCCUGGCGGUGAGCCCUCUGUGGUGGAUGCCACACCAGCCUCCCCUCCACUCCUGGCGGCCAGCACCCUCCCCUCUGGUCCUUAGGUUCUUAGCGCCAAACCUCUAGACCCCCUGGAAUCAGGGAUGUGACCUUGGCCAAAGUUCUCCAGCACCCAGAAAAGUCAGGGAACUGAGAGGGACUCUUCCCUGCUUCUGCCUCCCUCCUGCCCUCGGCUCCUGGAGGGCACAGCAAGUGUGCUGGGGGUUUCUGUAGAAAAACCAAAGAAAAUCAAACUCAGAGGUGUCACAUCCUCCCGGAACUUGCUGCCGCGAGGGCCCUGCCCCAGGGCUGUGGGCUUGGCUCUGAAGGAUGAGUCAGCCCUCAGAACAUUUCUUUCGGCUUCGGGGUAACUCUGGAUUUCGUCCACAAAGGGCUGUGUUCCAGCCCGGGCUAAAUCCCUCGCUCUGGGUGUGGACCCUUCUCGGAGGGGCCCCUCCAGGCAGAGCAUUUGUGUGGCUGGGGAAGCUGCAGCCAGGACCAGGCAGCCAAAGGCCUGCAUCUGGGUCCUGGCUGUGUUGCUCACUUACUGUGGGAUCCUAGGAAAUUUCUUCCCCUGCCUGGGCCUCAGUUUCCUCCUCUGCAAAAGGGGAGGAUUGAACUCUCAGGGGCUCACGUGGGCACCCCCCCGCCCCCGCAGGUAGUGUGAGGUGUCGGGGGUCUGGACAGAGCAUGCCCACAUCAGGCCGUCCCGGUUCUGGGCACACAUGGGUGGGUGGCCAUUGUGCAGCUCUGGACGCUGCUGGGCACAGCUGGCUGCAAUCCUGAAUUCCCUUUCACUCUCAGGGGCAAGAGACUCAUUCGCACUGAGGGUCCCAUGUAGAAAAGUCGUAGCUGGUAAGCUCUGCUGUAAAAGCACGUGUGGGUGGGUGGUGUACAUUCUGGGUUUAUUCUUUUCUUUUUUUCCGUUUUGUCUUGUUAUGGCUGCACUUGAGGCAUGUGGAGGUUCCCAGGCUAGGGAUCUAAUCAGAGCUACAGCUUCGCCACAGCCACAGCCACGCCGGAUCCGAGCCGCAUCUACCACCUAUACCGCAGCUCCCGGCAGUGCCGGAUCCUUAACCUACGGAGCAAGGCCAGGGAUCAAACCCGCAUCCUCAUGGAUACUAGUUGCGUUUGUUAACCAAUGAGCCACAGCGGGAACUCCCACCCAGGCACUUCUGUUCCAAGGCACGGGGGGUGUUCGGGGCCAGGUGAAACCGAAGCCCAUCGAAGAAGCGAUUGUCAGCAGUGAGCGGGAAGCCCUCUGUCCAGUCCAGUUGGCUGCAGACCCAGGAAGAGGUUCCCCCGGAAUCCUUUGUUCGUGGCCGUGGUUGGUGGCGGUUGGCCUUGACUCCAUCAGAGCAGUCCUGGGGGUGGGGUGGGGCCUCUGACCCAGAUCCAGCGCUCUGGGGAAGCAGCCCUUUGCCCAAGAGGCCUGGAUUACAUGAGCUGCUCUCCUGGACCCGGGGGCCACUCUGGCAUUUCAUUUUUGACGGGAACAGCUGAGGCACUGGGCCGAGGCCCGCCCGACAGGCCAUAGGUCACGCCUGCCCGGCUUCAGAGGGGCCCGGAGAAAAAUGCAGUGAUUGUCUUUGUGGUGGUUGAAGGGUUUAAAAGUAAACUCCCGGUUCCCAUAGAAACCUUUUCUUACUCCCCCCACCCCCCGCACCUCUUAUUUUUUUAAACAGGGGUGGAUUGUGUCAGUCACAGAAGGAAUUAGAGGCAGCAUCAAAAAUCCCAAGUGUGGCUUUAAAGAGUCUUCGGCAGUGUUUUCCCUCACCGGUCUGUCUGCUUUUCUUCUAUCGAUUUUUUUCUUAUCAGACAGGGAUAGACAAGCUGUGGUCUGGAGGCCAGAUGCAGCCGGCUGCCUGUUUGGGGGAAUAAAGUUUUAUUGGGACCCAGCUGUGCCCGUGUGUAUUGUCCAUGACUGCUUUUGCACUUACGGUGGCAGCUGAGGAGUUGUGACAGAGAGGUACCCACAAAACCAAACGUCUUUACUUUCUGGCCCGUUCAGAGUGUGGGAUCCUAGAGGGCUUCCCGUGGGGUGGCUGGGGCCUUGUCUUCUAAACCCAGACUCAGGGCACAGAAGAAAGAGAUGCUUGCGAAAGGCUGCAGCAUGUCUCAGGCCCAGCCUUACCUGCAGAGGGCCGGCGCGCCUGGGGUGGGUCCUGUACCUGCUUUAGAAAUGGACCUCUGGAGUUCCCGGGUGGCUCAGUGGGUUAAGGAUCUGGCAUUGUCACUGCUGUGGCUCGGGUUGCUGCGGUGGUGCAGGUUUGAUCCCUGGCCCGGGAACUUCUGCAGGCCAUGGGUGUGGCCAAAAAAAAUGGACCCCCCCUCCCCCAGGAAGCUCAGCCAUUGGUUCAAGUAGUAGUUACUGAGUCUUUCUGAAAUGCUGGGAGCUGGGACAGAGGGAUGAACAGGACACUCUGGGAGUCCCCAGUAUACAGGGGACAUGGGCAUCGUGUAGGACUGAGGGUGUUAGGGUGGGUGCUGCCAGGACUUUGGGGGGUACUGAUCCAGCCUUAAGCGUGGGGGCCUGGGUUGGGGGGACGGGAAACGUCCGUCUUCCCAAAGGCAGGCAGUGUGGACCAGGGAGUAGGGGAGUAUAGUGGGAGGUGGGGGGUGGGCUCUCUGGUGGGAUUACAGCCGGAGGGUGGGGGGGCCAGUGCAGGGAGGUGGGUCCCAGAGGUAGCUCUUCCUCUUGCCCUUCCUCAGCACCGUGAUCCGCCGCUGCUCGGAGGUUAUGGGCCAAAACCCAAGGGUGAGGAAAAGCCAGGCAGGAUCUGGGGAAUUCACAGAGGCCCAGGAGCCCUUCUGGGGUCCCCCAGCAGGACCUGCCGUGCCUGCAGCACUGGGGGUCUAAUUGGAAAGAUUUAGGGCUCUGAUGACGUCACGCCCCACCCCUGCUUCCCCCUCCUGGGGGGCCCUCCACGUAGGCAGGAGCUUUUGCGACACUUAUAUCCCUUUUUAUAUCUCUUUUCAACUAUUUUUAAUCUUCUACAGUAUGACAUACUUAAAAAGCAGCGAUCUGAGGCCGUGUAGCUGGAACUGGGGCGCUGGGGGGGGGCAUGGACUUGACCUGACGCGUUGGUCCUCCGCGGGCCCCGCCCUGGCCCCUCAGUCCGCCCAGCACCUGCCUCAUCCCCACCUUGCCUUUCUUGCCUGUACUUGGAACAUGUUCCUGUCAGGUGCCAGGACCACUGUUUUUCUGCCUCCAGCCCCUCUGGCCCCACUUCCGCCCUGCAGUCCAGAGAUGCUUCCCUCCCACGUCCACCCUCCACCAGGACUCUCCUUUGCCCUCGGGAGGGGACCCUGCUUUGUGCCCGGGGCCCCUCACUUCUGUCCUUUCUGGAAUGGACCAGCCGCACCCGGAAAUUGUCCUGUUUCUCCCACAGGCCAUCUUUUCUGGUCCCUGUGCCUUUGUCUGCAUGGCUCCUUCUGCCGGGGAUGGCCAGAGCUCAUCUAGAACAGCCUCCCUGAGCUGUGCCCGCCCUGGGGGGAUUCAGAGCCGCCUCGCCCAGACUCCUUGCCACCCUGAGUAGGUCCUCAGAGGAGCAUGGGCAUCUUUGUCUCACCAGCCCCUUUCUCAGAGUAGGUCCACAGAACUGUUUGCCAGACUGUUGUAGGCUGAAUGAUGGACCCCCCCCAUAGGCCCCCCCAAAUGUGUCCACAUCCUAACCCCCAGAACCUGGGAAUGUGUUACCUUACCUGGCACAAGGGACUUGGCAGAUCUAAGUGCAGGAUCUUGCGGAGGUGCGGAGCCGAGCCUGGAUUGUCCAGGUGCGUCCAGUUGAUCACAGGCAUCCUUCUAAGAGGGCACCGGGGGCGUUAGAGGGGAGAUGGGUCCAUGGUCGUCGAGGUCGUGGUGGUGCCGCCGCAGGAAGGGGCCGUGGGCCGAGGAUGCAGGCAGCCUCUGGAGCUGGAGAAGAGCGGGAACUGGGUUCCUCCCUGGGGUCUCCAGCAGGAACACAGCCCCGCUGAUAACUUGGAUGUCAGCCUGUCAAACCCAUUGCAGACCUCUGGCCUCCAGAACUGUAAGAUAAUGAAUUUGUGUUGUUUUUAAGCCUCUGAGGAUGUGGCAGUUUGUUACAGAAGCAGCAGGAAACUCAUACACGAAUGGGUUACGUGUGGCUUUCCAGGAGUUCCGGCUGUGGUGCCGUGGGUUAAGAACCUGAUUGCAGCAGCUCAGGUCGCUGCUGUGGUGUGGGUUUGAUCCCAGCCAGGGAUCUUCCAUGGGCUGAGGGUGUAGCCAUUAAAAAACACAAACAAGUGGCUCCCAGGCCUUCCCCUCUUUCCUGGAAUAGAUGCAUCCUGGGCCGUUUGCGCACCUGAAUUACCCUGCAGGCUCCGUGGAUGUGUGAUGGCCCCCAGGGUGGUGGCGCCGAGCCUGAGCUGGGAGCGUGGAGAAUGGGGCUCUGGCCACAGGGCUGCUGCCACUUGGCUGUGGCCAAGGGCAGCAGGGCAGGACUUGAGGGGACAGAAGAGGGGACCUGCCUGGGCCUGCAGAGAUUCUUUGUCCAAAAGUCUGAAUGCAGUGUUGGUGUGAUCAGAGAUCCAUGCGGUGCUGUGAAUAGCAAGGGGACAAUGCCACGGGCCAGCCAGGCCAAUGCCCUGUGGUCCUGGCUCUGUGGCUGACACAGGCCUCUGGGUACAUGCCCUGCUGUGUGGACCCUGGGAUUCAGCGGGCUCUGGCAGCAGUGACAGCUCUGUUCUAAUCCUUGCAGUCUUAUUUUAAACGUAAUUUAUUUAUUAUUUUACUGUUACUUUUUAAUCUUUUUAGGGUCACAUCCUUGGCUUGUGGAGGUUCCCCGGCUAGGGUCGAAUCGGAGCUACAGCUGCUGGCCUACACCACAACUACAGCAACACUGGGUCCAAGCCGCAUCUGCGACCUACAGCACAGCUCACGGCAGCGCCGGAUCCUUAACCCACUGAGUGAGGAGGCCAGGGAUCGAACCUGGUCCUUAUGGAUGCUAGUCAGAUGGGUUUCUGCUGAGCCAGGAUGGGAACUCGCCUUUAACUUUUAUUUUUAUUAGCAUAUAGUUGAUUUACAGUGUUGUGUCAACCUGCUGUACAGCAUAGCUGAAUGGUCACAGCUCUGUAUCCAUUCUUUUCUCACACUGUCUUCCGUCACCUUCUACCCCAAGAGACUGCGUGGAGUCUUCCCUGUGCUGUACAGGGGGACCUCACUGCUUAUCCGUUCUAAAUGUAUAAGCCUUGUGUUCUUGGAGUUCCCGUCGUGGUGCAGUGGUAACGAAUCCGACUAGGAACCAUGAGGUUGUGGGUUCGAUCCCUGGCCUUGCUCAGUGGGUUCAGGAUCCGGCGUUGCUGUGAGCUGUGGUGUAGGUCGCAGACGCGGCUUGGAUCUGGCAUUGCUGUGGUUGUAGUGUAGGCCGGCAGCUACAGCUCCCAUUCGACCCCUAGCCUGGGAACCUCCAUAUGCCUCGGGAGCAGCCCAAGAAAUGGCAAAAAAAAAAAAAAA